rnacentral:rRNA from 1 species
GACGAACGCUGGCGGCGUGCUUAACACAUGCAAGUCGAACGGAAAGGCCCCUUUGGGGGUACUCGAGUGGCGAACGGGUGAGUAACACGUGAGUAACCUGCCCUUGACUUCGGGAUAACUUCAGGAAACUGGGGCUAAUACCGGAUAGGAAUCCUUGCUGCAUGGUGGGGGUUGGAAAGCUUCGGCGGUUUUGGAUGGACUCGCGGCUUAUCAGCUUGUUGGUGGGGUAGUGGCUUACCAAGGCUUUGACGGGUAGCCGGCCUGAGAGGGCGACCGGCCACAGUGGGACUGAGAUACGGCCCAGACUCCGACGGGAGGCAGCAGUGGGGAAUAUUGCACAAUGGGCGGAAGCCUGAUGCAGCAACGCCGCGGGCGGGAUGACGGCCUUCGGGUUGUAAACCGCGUUCAGCAGGGGCGAAGCUUGUGGUGACGGUACCUGCAGAAGAAGCACCGGCUAACUACGUG